AAAGUAUGCAGUUACUGUUAUAGGAUUAUUGCUUUGCUGUUUGCCUACUUCAUUUAAACUUUUUUGUUGUUGUGACAAGGGAUUUU